GAUUAACGCUGGCGGCGUGCAUAACACAUGCAAGUCGAACGAUGAAACUUUAAUGAACCCUUCGGGGAGAAUUAAAGCGGAUUAGUGGCGAACGGGUGAGUAACGCGUGAGUAACCUGCCUUACACAAGGGGAUAGCCUUUGGAAACGAAGAAUAAUACCCUAUAAAACCAUAAAAGCACAUGCAAUUAUGGUCAAAGUGAUAGCGGUGUAAGAUGGACUUGCGUCUGAUUAGCUAGUUGGUGAGAUAAAAGCCCACCAAGGCAACGAUCAGUAGCCGGCUUGAGAGAGUGUACGGACACAUUGGGACUGAGACACGGCCCAGACUCCUACGGGAGGCAGCAGUGGGGAAUUUUGCACAAUGGGGGAAACCCUGAUGCAGCGACGCCGCGUGAUUUAGAAGGCCUUCGGGUUGUAAAAAUCUUUUGUAUAGGAAGAAAAUGACAGUACUAUACGAAUAAGGUCCGGCUAAUUACGUG
rnacentral:rRNA from 1 species